UGAAAAAGAACCUGAAACCGUGUACGUACAAGCAGUGGGAGCACCCUUUUGGGUGUGACUGCGUACCUUUUGUAUAAUGGGUCAGCGACUUAUAUUCUGUAGCAAGGUUAACCGAAUAGGGGAGCCGUAGGGAAACCGAGUCUUAAUUGGGCGUUAAGUUGCAGGGUAUAGACCCGAAACCCGGUGAUCUAGCCAUGGGCAGGUUGAAGGUUGGGUAACACUAACUGGAGGACCGAACCGACUAAUGUUGAAAAA
rnacentral:rRNA from 1 species